rnacentral:misc_RNA from 1 species
AGGGAUUAAUAAUGGCGCGAGUGAGGAUUUUUCAGUUGAUGAUCUUUUGGAUUUUUCUGACAAAGAUUUCAAAGACCCAGAACUGCAUGAAGAUGAUGAGAAAACCUCUUUUUCUGGGUCUUCUCAGAAAAGAAAUUCACAGGAUUCUACUUUUUCCGGCAUGGAAAGCUUUGGUUCUUUAGCCGGCGAACUCCCUAUUCCGGUUGAUGAUAUGGAGAAUCUUGAAUGGUUAUCCCAAUUUGUGGAUGAUACUCCGUCGGAAUUUUCGUUGUUGUGUCCUACCGAAAGUUUCAAGGACAAAACCGGUGGUUUUACAGAGUCCCGGUCUGAACCGGUGGUUAGACCAGUUGUUAAGAAAACGAGAGUUCCAUGUUUCCCUUUGCCGUUUCCUGUGAAACCGAGAAGCAAACGGUCCAGACAGGCCGGAAGAACAUGGUCUUUUCCGUCGUCGGCAGUUUCAGGAGACUCUUCUUCUCCAACUUCUUCGUCGUACGGUUCUUCACCGUUUCCGUCUGGUUUUUUCACGAACCCGGUUUAUGACGGUGACUUGUUUUGUAGCGUAGAAAAGCCACCGUUGAAGAAACCAAAAAAGAAUCCAUCAGUAGAGACCGGUUCAGGCCGUCGGUGUACUCAUUGUCAGGUUCAAAAAACACCCCAGUGGCGAGCCGGUCCAUUGGGUCCAAAAACUUUGUGCAACGCUUGUGGUGUUAGAUACAAAUCCGGUCGGCUUUUUCCUGAGUAUAGACCGGCUUGUAGUCCAACUUUUUCUUUAGAAGUUCACUCAAAUAGCCACCGGAAAGUUUUGGAGAUGCGGCGGAAGAAGGAAACCGGUGAGGGUAUUGACUCCGGCUUAGCUUCUAUGAUUUCAACUUGUUGAAAUGAAAAAAACCCGGUUCAGUUGAAAAAGCGGUCUAGUAGGUCUAGCUCGGUUGCGGUUUAAAUGUGAAAAUUUUGGUAAAUUGUGGGAAGUAGGAAGGGUAGACGUAGAAAUGUAACGUAUUUUAGGGAGGUUAUUGUAAUUUUUACUUUUAGAAUUUUGCUACUUUUUUUUUUUUAUUAUCA